CAGCACCGUGCCCCGGGAACGCAGCCGCGAGUCGCUCAGCGAGAGGCUCUGCAGGGCCUGGAGAGGAACCAGACGGUGCUUCAGCGUCACUCGACAAACUUGUAAAGCUGCUUCAGCGAGGGGUGUCUGGAGAGGGCAGGCAGCACCGUGAGCAAGUCUGCAUCCAAACCUGUCGACACGAAAACAGCUCAAAAGUGGCCCGAGGAUGAGACCAAAACAGGCAAGAGUGGCGAUGGAGGAGACUCUGGGGAAGAGCUCCUGGAGGACGGCAGCUCCUGCACAUCGAAGCUGGAAGAUGCGAGGAAAAUGGGACACCGGCGCAUUUAUGUACAACAGUGCCUUGACAUACAAUUUGAAUCUGUUCUUUCACCACAGUCGUUACCGAAAUGCUCUCAUCUUUCCCCAUGAAUGCCUCUCCCGUGACGAGCAAAAACAACACCUUCCAAUAUUAUCCUUAGCAUGCAGUCACCCGCCGCUGUGGCUAGUGGAUUCCCAGAGUUUCUUGCUGCACGUUUGUUGUUGGACAACAGGGGUCAUGCGGAACCAGUUUCCACAUUUACUAAAAUGGAUUAAAGCCCCUUGAGAAAAAUGCGCAAAGUUAUUCUCCUUUCUACCCGGUUCCAGA